ACUAUUUUAGCAAAAANAAUGCCUUAAAUUUAGAAUUUAAUAAUGUAAUAUUUAUUACAAAUAGUA
rnacentral:tRNA from 1 species